rnacentral:sRNA from 1 species
CGAUGUGUGUGUGCAUGCGAUGUAGCUU